GAUGAACGCUGGCGGCGUGCCUAAUACAUGCAAGUCGAGCGAACAGACGAGGAGCUUGCUCCUCUGACGUUAGCGGCGGACGGGUGAGUAACACGCGGAUAACCUACCUAUAAGACUGGGAUAACUUCGGGAAACCGGAGCUAAUACCGGAUAAUAUAUUGAACCGCAUGGUUCAAUAGUGAAAGACGGUUUUGCUGUCACUUAUAGAUGGAUCCGCGCCGCAUUAGCUAGUUGGUAAGGUAACGGCUUACCAAGGCAACGAUGCGUAGCCGACCUGAGAGGGUGAUCGGCCACACUGGAACUGAGACACGGUCCAGACUCCUACGGGAGGCAGCAGUAGGGAAUCUUCCGCAAUGGGCGAAAGCUUGACGGAGCAACGCCGCGUGAGUGAUGAAGGUCUUCGGAUCGUAAAACUCUGUUAUUAGGGAAGAACAAAUGUGUAAGUAACUAUGCACGUCUUGACGGUACCUAAUCAGAAAGCCACGGCUAACUACGUG
rnacentral:rRNA from 1 species